rfam:Myotis brandtii contig158496, whole genome shotgun sequence.
GGCCACAUGGCUCAGUUGGUUGGAGCAUUGUCCUGUACACAAAAGGUUGUGGGUUCAAGUCCCACUCAGGACA